GAGAGGGGAAGAUAUCUUUCCAAUGUCACCCAUUGAAUUAGGGUAUAGACAAGAAACUUUAGACCUCCUCAUUAUCCAGUCAUUGCUCUUUUCCUUAUAUUGCAAUGUCUGCAGGUUCUUAAAGUGUACCUAACUGAAUCCUUUUAUUUUACAGAUGAGAAACAGACUCAGACAGGAUAAGCAGCUUCCUUAAAGAAAAGGCAAUUUUGAGGAAGCCCCAUCACUGAAUGCCCUGGAGAAGCAAAAACUGACUUUCAGAUGUGAGCUGGAGCUGCUGCUGCCCAAGUCAACAAUCUUACCCUAUUCCUGUCCAAGACCUUCCCUCCUCAGACUCUCUCUGAAUUUCUACUGCAAGCAAAGGGACAGAGAGUGUAAUCCAGUGGAAAGAGCCUAGGUUUGGCAGCCUGGAGAAAUGCAUUCUAAUUCAGACUGUCAUUGACCCACUGUGUGAUUUGAGUUGUCAUUUUUCCCUUGCAAAGCUUUAUUUUCUUUGUAAAGCAAAGGGGUUUGUCUAGCUGGUUUCUGUGCUUGGGGGACAAUCUGUACUUGAAGGUCUCUACUCAGCCUGACAUUUUGUGUUUUGUGUUUCAUUUUCUGAACCAAGUUCCCUUCCACCCUUAUUUAUUUUAGGAAUAUGAACUGUUCUUGAUCCAGAGAAAUGGUUCUCAAAUUUGUCCACUGUGGUAGAACCCUUCAGUUUAAACAAAACUUUGGUGGAAUCCUGCAGACUCUUGUAGUAAAAUCAUCUAAAAUAAUUAUUUUUAAUGCUUAGCAAACAACAGAAGAUUCAAUGAAAACAAACUUGGGGUAUGUCAGGGCUCUUUGCAGCAUAGUUUAAGAAACAACUGGUCUUGGGUUCUUUUCCCCAGUGGAUUCCUUCAGGGGACACCACAGCAGCCAUGCAAAACACACUGAGGUUUCCUCGGGGCGCCACUAGGCUCUGAGCCUGGACUGGAAGUAAAUCAUAGGAUUUAGAAGCUGGAAGGGACCUUAGUCCUCUGAAUAUUUCUCACUGGAUCUCCUCCAGAUUUGGGGCUUGGCCUCUCUGAGACCCUGUUUUAAUUUGAGGAAUGAAGAGGCAAGCUGGGCAGCAGGAAGGUCAGGUCUUUUGUCCUUCCUUGCCACAAGACUCACCCCCAAGCUGGUUUGUGAAUUCCUUUCAAAACAAUAAAAGGCUUUUGUUGAGAGAGACUCAGACCCAGAAACCAGUGAAGCUACCAUUAUCAAUAAAAGAACAGACUUUAGGUCUUCAUUUGGAGAAUGAAAAAAAAAAAAAAA